AUUGAACGCUGGCGGCAGGCCUAACACAUGCAAGUCGAGCGCGCGGCGGACGUGUGAGAAAUGCCUGGGACUUGCCCAGGCGAGGGGUAUAACAGUUGGAAACGACUGCUAAUCCCGCAUACUAUUGUGUUGCCCAGGUGGGUUUAGCUAGUUGGUGAGGUAAUGGCUCACCAAGGCGACGAUCUCUAGCUGGUCUGAGAGGAUGAUCAGCCACACUGGAACUGAGACACGGUCCAGACUCCUACGGGAGGCAGCAGUGGGGAAUAUUGCACAAUGGGCGAAAGCCUGAUGCAGCCAUGCCGCGUGUGUGAAGAAGGCCUUCGGGUUGUAAAGCACUUUCAGCGAGGAGGCGUUACUCGCAGAAGAAGCACCGGCUAACUCCGUGCCAGCAGCCGCGGUAAUUC
rnacentral:rRNA from 1 species